UAUAGGAAGUUUGAAAAACUAAAGAAUCUGUGGUACAUGAUUUGAUUUACUCAUUUAGAUUUUAGUAAAUUGUGACCGGAAGUUUUUUUCACAAAACCAGUGCACCACCCUUUCUACACACAUCAUUCAUGGAUUGGCAGACUAAAGGUUCUAUUCAACAUCUUUGGUGGAUUGCAUAAAUGGGCUAGAGUAAAAAUAGACCAGAAUUGUUAUAUGUGCUUAGGGAAGUGGGAUUAGAUCAAGAUUUUUUUGACAAAAUGAGAAAUCAAUGGCUCAAGGAGAGUAAGCCCAAAGAGAUAAGUAUUGUUUUCCUUUAGUAGCUUGCCGCAUAAUUCAUUCAAACAUAUUUAGAGUGGAGCAGGAAUAUUCAAACAAGGAAAUGUACACAAUAUCUGUUAGUAUACAUGUGACACUUUCCCGUCUUUCGACUAAUGAUUGCCUCCUACCAGGUAUCACUAAUAGCACAUUCAUCACAUCAUUUGUGUAGCUCAUUCUGGUGUAAGUCGGGCCAAUUUAGAAAAGAUUUUAAAGCAGAUUCAUACAGGUUAUAGAAAUCAGAGUCAAAUGUUAUAAUAAGUGAUUUGUUUGUGCAUAAUUUCUAAUCGAUCGUCUUCUAAGGAUAAAUGGAACUGCUACCUUUCCUCUCUCCAAUAAACUAUUAGACCCUGCUUGUAACUAUUUUUCAUCUUGGUGUGAUUUAUAAGGGAGGCCAUGCCAUUAGUUUUUUGUUAUUACAUGCUAUGAUGACCCCGAUUCAUUGAUGUAUAGUGUCGUAUGUGGUCAAUUACCUAAUAUGGUAGUAUCACUUCUCCUGGUUUGCCUUGGUCUGAAAUCUGACUUUUGGACUGAUUGUAGUCAAUCCGAAUUAGUGAGUUUCUUUUUUCCAACUGUCCAUGUUCAGUUCUCUACAUUAUCAUGCAUUUUCUUUGGUUUAAAGAUGUCAUGAUGUUCACCAAGGCAGAGAAGAAAUGUUUUAAAGUUGUCCCUUCAAUUGAAACAAGUAUGACUUGGUCCUUAGUGCCUAUGCAGACAUGAAAACGGAAGGUCGAGAAGUUUAAAUAUGUCAUGAUGUUUACAAUUGCGGAUAUCCUACUUCAGGUACUUGCCUGAUAACUCACAAUUUCAACACAGAAGUUACUAAUCUGUAAGACAUGCCCUCUCUCAUUCAACGAUGUCCUGAAUUUUUCACACAAAGCUUUGUAAUCUUGCCAAGUCACAAGAGAGCCAAGUAAUCAUGCGAAUUUUCAGAGAACUUCAAGUGGCAUGCCACCAUUUGCAAUGGUUGUGAUGUAGUGAUAAUUAAUAAACCACAGGCCUUCUAAAUAUUCUAAAGUUGCAUAUCUAAGAGCAUAUUAUAUUUCUCAUAAACAACUGGAGUUAAGCUUCUAUCCUCUUCCUGUCUUGAAGGAAUUAUCUGUUGAGUAAGCUACAGUCUCUUUGUUUGACUAGCUAGGCUGUGUUACAUAAAUGUAUAAGAUGAUGCUUCUGUGGCUAUAACUGGUGCCUGCCGCGCUAAAUAGGAAACACCCUAUUAAUUACCCACCUCAAUUUCAUUAGUGCGUCCGGCCUGUGAAUUUUACCCCAGACUAUAAAUCCCCUCCAAACGAAACCCUAUAGGUGUACUAUGACUCUUAAUAGUGUAUCCUUGUAAAAGUCAGUGUGUUGGGUUAUUUUUUUGGUGUGGUUAGAGAACUCAACUCCAUUUGGAACAAGGGUUUGAGUUUUAUUUUUCCUAAACCUUUGAGAGGCAGAGCCAUGGAAAUAUUUUGUGCUCUCAUUCCUCUGGAUGGAAGCUCUAACUUUUCCUCUUUGUUUCCAAUAAGCUACUUUCUUCGAGAUUGUGCAAUGAAGGAUUUUGAUGGUAAGGGAUCGUAGAGCCUCGGGUGACUAGCAUUAAGAUAGGAAGGUUGUUGCCGCCCUUGUCCCUUGCUGCUGGGUUGCCAUGGUGCGUCAAUCACUGGCUUAUUUAGAACAAUAGUUAGUGGAUUUUGUGAUAAGGGUGAGGGCCGAGAGUGAGAGGGAUGGGGUUGGGAUUGGUCUAUUGUAUGCGUGAAAUUAUUUCCCUACUUCAGAAAAUAUGGCAAAUUGCAUUUCAUUAGAGAUUGAUUUACAGCAAAUUGCAUGAGCGAGUGGUUCUUGCAUUUUUCAUCAAGUCGUACAUUUUCUUGGUUAUGACAUAAGGGUAAAUGUACUGGUUGGUUGCUUCAAGACUUAAUAACAGACACUAUGACAAUGGCUCAAGAGAUAUCAGAUCUACCUUCUUGGCUGGGGGCGUUAUGGGUGGUGCACGUCUCGGCCCCCUUGAUGGCCGUGGUGGAUGGACAUGAACACGAGGGGGGAUCAGGGCGGAGAGCAGGGUGGUUGGCGGGGGACUCAUCCUUGGCAGUUCAUGGGAAAGUACGGUGUGAAGCAGAGGGGGCGCCAUGGCGAAGUGUGAAAGGAGGAAAAUAGUUGCCGGAAAGCAGGUAGAUCUACACCUUGAGAGAUGGCAUUUUGCGGUACAUUGUUUAGGUCAUUAGUGGUCACUUGGGAUGGGUGCGAUCUGUAGCAUUUGAUCCAGGGAACAAAUGGUUUUGUCCUGGUUUUGCUGAUAGGACAAUAACGGCAAGGAAGAAGGUUGCAGAGCAUGGAUGGAUGUGAAAAGGAAGAGGAUGGAUGAGAGAGGAGAGAAGAGGGGUGAAAGAGGAUACAGAUGGAAAGAGGGAGAAGGACAGGGUGGGGGCGCUUCUUAAGGAUUAUUGUCGACUGAUUUCAUACUCUCUUAUAAAUUCAUGGUUAGCUAGGUAAACCUUUUGUACAACAGCUCUUGUUCAAAAGGAAGUUUGAUUUUUUGGCUUCUUAUUUUAGGUCAAUAUCAAGAACAGUUUAGUUAAUUUAGUUUAAUGUUUAUGUUUGAAAUUGACUUUUACCAUUCUGGUUGAAUGGGGGUGUUGAUAGAAGAGAUUGCGA